UUGAAGGAUUUGUGAGAAAUGUUUGAGGGAAUUGAUUUGGUGUUUAACACUGAGUCAGUUUCCUCAAACAUUUCUUACAAAUCCUUCAA
rnacentral:miRNA from 1 species